rnacentral:lncRNA from 1 species
GAAAGUGUAAAACAAAUUCUCAUUUGCUGCUGGAGUUGUGAACUCCAACAAACAAAAUAUUGCACUUACAGCCAGAAUUCCAACCAUGGCUUGCCUCACUGCCUUAGAUUCCUGUAAAAUAAAAAUAAAAACAACAUUUUCCACAUCAUGAUUCGGUGUGUCUGAAUGGAAAUCAUCUCUACAUAAAUAAAAAUGGCAUAGCCAUCAACACCGCUAAGCACCUUCGAAGGUUGAGCACCAAAUCUUUUGCUUAAAAUACCUCCAAGCACUCCAAAAACAUUUCUUUUGAAGAAAAAUUCUUUGAUGUCCAUUAGCUCUAGAAUGAUCAUGCAAUUGAAUCCUAACAAUUUCUUGAAGGCUGCAUGUUCCAGUGAUGCUUCAUCAAUUUCAGGAGUGCUUAAGAAGAAGCAGAUCCUCCCUC